GUGUGCCCAGAUCCAUCCCCUCCCAGCAGCAAAAGCCCACAAGAACUCAGCAGUGCUGUCCAGCAGCAUCCUUAAUACCUCAGCAGCCACCUCACUAAGUAAAGUGAAUUCCUUCUGGAAGUAAAUAGCCUUAAUACUGGACGUCUGACAACUAACAUCAUACUUAAGUACUCCCUAGAAUGAAAGAAUAAAAUCUCAUGCUAGUAAGUCAAAGAACAGGAAAACUGUACCUGUAUUUUGCUGUUCCUUCAGUGACUAUACCAAGCUGACAAGGUAGUUAGAUUUGUUUAAGAACAUCCAUCAACAGAGAUGAUGGAGUCACAGAUAAACUGUAACAAUGCCGUACAGAAUUUACAGAGGUAAACUGAUGUGCACGCAUCACAGAAGAUAUGAAGUGCAGCAAAACAAUUGUUGAGUGAUGAAAAUGUAAUCAAUGUUUUGCUUUAAUUAAUUUAAAGCUUUUUAUGUCAUGUCAUUCCUCCUU